AGAAAUUGCAAAAAAAUUUCCUCAUUAUAAAUACUCCAUUGAAUUUUAAAAUUUAUACAGUUAAUGCUUCUCUUCUGCAACUUGCUAUAAUUAUAUCUUACAAAUAAAAAAAAAAAACACUUUUUGUACAAAUUAAGUUUUGAAAAAAAAAGAUUUCAUUUCAACUAAGAAAAUUUCAACAAAUUAUGUCCUCUUUAAAAUCAAUUAAAUUAAUGAUGUUUGUGAUAAUAAUUUGUUUAUUAUUUGGUCCAUUUACUGUUGAGUCACAACAUCGUGGUGGUGUGUGCAUUCCACCAAAUAGAUUUAGAUGUAGACGCGAUGGUACUUUAGGUUUUUGUUGCCCAGGAUUUUCUUGUAAUCAAAAACCAGGAGAAUCAAGUGGAUUCUGCGUAUAAAAAAAUUAUGAAUUUUUUUUUUUUUUUUUUUUUGCUUAUAUCAUUUCUUUUGCAAUACAGUAUACAAUUCAAUAAAUUAUAUAUUUUAGUUUCAAAUGUGUUUUUUAAAUAAAAAUUUAUUUUAAAAAAUAA